GUGCUCUCUUCAGCAGCACAUAUACUAAAAUUGGAACGGUACAGAGAAGAUUAGCAUGGCCCCUGCACAAGGAUGACACGCAAAUUCAUGAAGUGUUCCAUAAAAAA
rfam:Myotis brandtii contig211743, whole genome shotgun sequence.